ensembl:lncRNA
CGCAAGGGGAAGGUGGGCAGGGCUGGGGGUCAGGACGGCCCUGGGGGUGUUUGUCCCUCCUUGGGGGUGACCUGACCCCCCCCCCCAGGGUGUCCUUUGGGGGGGGGGGGUUAUCUGAGGGGGUGUCCAUGCACCCCUCUGCGCUCCCCAUCCUCCCCAGCCAGCAGUGACCCCACUCCCAGGAGCAGCCCCAUCCUCUGUGCUGAGGGCAUGCCGGUGCCCCCCGGCCCCGUCCUCCCCUAUUCAUCACCCCCGCAGCCCCCCAGGAUCGUGGGUGGCUUAAUCCUAAAUGCAGUCCCCCCAGGAUCCAGGCUGCCCUUUGCAUCCCUUCCUUGGGGCUGACGGAGCCAUCACGCACAGCCCGGCGGCUCUGCGCUCCCUGCUGCCUUUCUAAGGCCAAGACGGUGCGAUUGGAAAAAAAAAAGCAAGCAGGUCGGGAAGUGGCCGGGCCUGUCCGGGGGGAGGCAGGCGUGGAUCGGCGAUGGGAUCUGCGCUGGGUCGGGCUAAGAGCCACUCCAGUCUCAGCUCCCGCUGCGUGAUUCACGUUUUCAGCAUGGCCAGCAGCAGGAAUUUGUUAGAGAAAUAAAUAAACGACCCGCUUUUUCGGUUUGCUUUUUUCUUCCCCCCCCCCCAAAAUAGAGAGACAUUCUAGAUUAAAUAUUCCAUCAGCUGCUAAACUAAUCACGGCCAUUUAGCGGAGUGCUAAUUAGUACCAUUGCGGUUAGCAUGGUUGGAAAGGAUGUAUGCAUUCCAUUGGUUCCGUUUGAUUUGGGGUGGAGGGAGGAGAUGCUCCGGGGGCUGUCGGACCCAGGAAGGGAUCCCAGCACCCAUGGCUGCACCUACGGGAUGAGCUUUGGAUGGGGCGGUUCGUGAUCUCAGAGCACCGAACAGAAACCAGAUGCUGCACUGCUGAAUCCGCUGCUCUGUGCCCCAUCUGUGUGUUCUGGAGGAGGUGGGGGUCACUUUGGUGGGGACCCCGGGAGGCUGAAGGCUCCUGGACACCUGGAGAACGUAUUCCAAACACCAAUGUUUUCUCCAACACAGUCGGAGCUGUGGGUGGUUACUUCAGCGAUGAGCUGAGGUUACACCAUCCAUCCUCUUGUGCCUUCCCAAGAGGGUUGGGGUAUGCAUCACAGAGCCCCAUCUCUGCUGCAAACCCUAAUGCUGUCCUCCCUAAAUCGUCUUCCACGCAACACCUGCAGCCACAGCUCCUUUCCAAGGCACCAAACCAGCUCCCAUAGGACGAGGCAGCUCGCCUUUCUGUGCUGCGGAGGGGAAAGGGAUCAACAGGUAACCGCAUUUAUGGCCGCGGGCAGAAGUUCUGGAGAAUUCCUCUAAGAGCAUCGUGUGCUGUCAGCAAAGCGCCUGGGUAGGUAUGAGGGACAGACAAGCUUAUCAGACAGCCUCUGCGGGAGGUCAGCGAUUGGACUUCUCCCCAUCAGAGCCCCUAAGUCAGAGAUCCUGGAGGUUUUUCUCCUGUAUUCCAGCACAGCACCGCUCAGAGCAGAGGUGCACCGUCCGUCCCCAUGCGGUCUUUCCCUUCUGCCUGGGUGCCCUGGCACAGCAAUGGAUAAAAACGGAUUUAUUGAUGAUAAGACACAGUUCAGCUGGGCUCUUUGUGACAGCAUUCUUUCCCAUAGGACUUAAUAACCCAGAUUCGGACUCAGCAGAGACAGGGUGGGCUUUUCUUAAACAAAAAUCUGUUUCCUAAAGAAGAAAAACUGAAUGAAUGGGGGUAUCCUUGCAAGGAAAAGCUGUUUGUGACUUUGUUUGAACAGGGAAAGGUUUGGUGAUACAAACUGGCUGGGAUGUGUAAAAAUUUAAACGUGUUGUAUAAGAAAAUUUCCGAUUCAAUUCGAAAUCCUAGCCUCAACUAUUAAGAUCC